AUCCAGCUGGCCUCUAUGAACAUCAUGUACAGCCAAUGUUUGUUCGGCAAUGAGCCGAGUCCUCACAGUCGAAGACAAUCGAAAAUUAACCUGGCACAUAGCGAAAAUUAUUCGACCAUGGUGGGACUCGAACCCAUGCCUGGCCAGUACCCAUAGUUCGAAAUCAAGCACGUUAGCCGCUCGGCUACAAGUACUGCAAUGCUACAAGUA